rnacentral:lncRNA from 1 species
CCGAGUGCAGAGCCAGGGCCCAGCACGCAGGCCUUGGGCUCCAGUCCGUGUGCCCCACAUCUGGAAUGUGCCAGCAGGGCCCGGUGCGAGAGAAGAGCGGAUCCCUACAUGAGUGAGGGUGGAGGGAUGGUGCCUCUGCCACGGCCAUGGUGCCGCCGUCCAUGUCAGCUCACUCUCAGCACAGAUGCUGUGUGAUGGCCUCAGGCCACGCCGCUUGUUCUGAGGCCCCUAGCAGGUCGGGCUUGUGCUGGCUGCACAUUGACUGGCUGGUGAGCUUGGCGGGUCUGUGGGCACGGAGAGACCAGAACGUGCGUAACAGGCCCGAUGAGGGUGCCAGGCUGCGGCAAACCCCGAGCUUUAGAGGAGAGGGGCAUCAGCCGGGGGCCCUGCACAGGCAGCCUCAGAGAGAGGAAAGCUCACGAUCUGGAAGAACUCCAGGCCUGGCCCAGCGAAGACGUCCUUAUCUUCAGCAGACAUUGCCCAGUGCAAGGGGAGCCCCAGACUGACUUUCUGAGGUCACAGACGGAGCCUCACCCCAUCCAAGGCGGUGUCCUAGACUCCCACUGUGCUCCCCAGAGGGCAGGGUACCUGGGGCCCAGCCCGGGCGGCAGGAGGGACUCAGCCCCUUGCCCAGGCAGGAAGGGUCCCAAGCAGAGGCCCCUCCCUCAGGCACUCCCCAGCCCACACCUGCAGCACUGGGACCAAGACUAAUAAAACACCCGCCUCACGGAAGACAGCUUUAUCUUGUUGAUCAGAAGUCUGCCAGCCCAAUUUAUGAUGGAACAUAAGAUCUCUAAAUCUGAAUUUACGCUCUAUAGCGUAACGAGAGGUCAAUAAGAUUAAACGGGGGCUCAGGAGAGGACCAGCGUCAGGCUCACUGCGAGGUGCUGCACAGAAAACCCACAGCCAGAGCCCCUGGGCCCAGCCCAGGCAAGACCAGAAAAGGAGGGGGCAGGUGGGAGACCAGCCUGGGGCUCCUGGGAAGCCCACGGGAUGGAGGCGGGAGAGCCAGGAGGCCUGGGGCAACCCUGGGACGGUUCCUGGAUCGAAGAGAGCAGGGGGGUGAUGAGGGUUCCCUCAGGGCUGGGGAGCCUUCUCCUGGUCUGAGACCCACCCCCCUUCAGCUCCCAAGCCUUGGGUGCCCCUGGCUCUGAGGACAGUUGGGAAUCUUCCCUGAGGCAGGUUCAAGGACAGAGCUGUGACCCUGGCCCAGGGCUGCUUUGGGUGCCCAUGAACUCAGCUUCUGGCUCAGAGCAGUUCCCUGCACCCGUUCCUGAGCCCUCUGUCCUCUGGAACCCGUGGGCAGGGUGAGGGACGGGUGUUCCAUCUGGGUGGGGGCCUGGGCGCCCAGCCAGCACAAGGCUGGCUUGCUGAGCUUAGGGCAGACCCCGACUUCAGAAUUUAUACAAAUAAAUGCAAUGAAAAGUGCUGGCAG